UACAGAGGGGGCAAGCGUUGUUCGGAAUUACUGGGCGUAAAGGGCGCGUAGGCGGCCUGCUAAGUCGAACGUGAAAUCCCUGGGCUCAACCCAGGAACUGCGUCCGAUACUGGUUGGCUUGAAUCCGGGAGAGGGACGUGGAAUUCCAGGUGUAGCGGUGAAAUGCGUAGAUAUCUGGAGGAACACCGGUGGCGAAGGCGACGUCCUGGUCCGGUACUGACGCUGAGGUGCGAAAGCGUGGGGAGCAAACAGG
rnacentral:rRNA from 1 species